rnacentral:rRNA from 1 species
CAGUAGCCGCGGUAAUACGAAGGGUGCAAGCGUUAAUCGGAAUUACUGGGCGUAAAGCGUGCGUAGGCGGUUUGUUAAGUCUGUUGUGAAAUCCCCGGGCUCAACCUGGGAAUGGCAAUGGAUACUGGCAAGCUAGAGUGUGUCAGAGGAUGGUGGAAUACCCGGUGUAGCGGUGAAAUGCGUAGAGAUCGGGAGGAACAUCAGUGGCGAAGGCGGCCAUCUGGGACAACACUGACGCUGAGGCACGAAAGCGUGGGGAGCAAACAGGAUUAGAUACCCGGGUAGUCCCUGUCUCUUAUAA